rnacentral:rRNA from 1 species
GAUGAACGCUGGCGGCGUGCCUAAUACAUGCAAGUCGAGCGAACAGACGAGGAGCUUGCUCCUCUGACGUUAGCGGCGGACGGGUGAGUAACACGUGGAUAACCUACCUAUAAGACUGGGAUGACUUCGGGAAACCGGAGCUAAUACCGGAUAAUAUAUUGAACCGCAUGGUUCAAUAGUUAAAGACGGUUUUGCUGUCACUUAUAGAUGGAUCCGCGCCGCAUUAGCUAGUUGGUAAGGUAACGGCUUACCAAGGCAACGAUGCGUAGCCGACCUGAGAGGGUGAUCAGCCACACUGGAACUGAGACACGGUCCAGACUCCUACGGGAGGCAGCAGUAGGGAAUAUUCCGCAAUGGGCGCAAGCCUGACGGAGCAACGCCGCGUGAGUGAUGAAGGUCUUCGGAUCGUAAAACUCUGUUAUUAGGGAAGAAAAAAUGUGUAAGUAACUAUGCACGUCUUGACGGUACCUAAACAGAAAGCCACGGCUAACUACGUG